GACGAACGCUGGCGGCGUGCUUAACACAUGCAAGUCGAACGGUAACAGGUCUUCGGAUGCUGACGAGUGGCGAACGGGUGAGUAAUACAUCGGAACGUGCCUAGUAGUGGGGGAUAACUACUCGAAAGAGUGGCUAAUACCGCAUGAGAUCUACGGAUGAAAGCAGGGGAUCGCAAGACCUUGUGCUACUAGAGCGGCCGAUGGCAGAUUAGGUAGUUGGUGGGAUAAAAGCUUACCAAGCCGACGAUCUGUAGCUGGUCUGAGAGGACGAUCAGCCACACUGGGACUGAGACACGGCCCAGACUCCUACGGGAGGCAGCAGUGGGGAAUUUUGGACAAUGGGCGAAAGCCUGAUCCAGCAAUGCCGCGUGCAGGAUGAAGGCCUUCGGGUUGUAAACUGCUUUUGUACGGAACGAAAAGCUCUGGGUUAAUACCCUGGGGUCAUGACGGUACCGUAAGAAUAAGCACCGGCUGACUACGUGCCAGCCGCCGCAGUAA
rnacentral:rRNA from 1 species